rnacentral:rRNA from 1 species
CCGGGAUCCUCCGGGCCCGAAGCUCUCACCCUUUGUGUACCGCACCCCUGUUGCUUUGGCGGGCCCGCUGGGGAGACCCACCGCCGGCUGACGAGCCGGCGAGCGCCCGUCAGAGACCCCCAAAACCCCGUCUGUCGGUGACGUCUGAGUCCCACACAAUCGUUAAAACUUUCAACAACGGAUCUCUUGGCUCUGGCAUCGAUGAAGAACGCAGCGAAAUGCGAUAAGUAAUGUGAAUUGCAGAGUUCAGUGAAUCAUCGAAUCUUUGAACGCACAUUGCGCCCCCCGGCAUUCCGGGGGGCAUGCCUGUUCGAGCGUCAUUACACCCCUCAAGCUCCGCUUGGUGUUGGGCCCCCGUCCCCCGGGACAGGCCCGAAAGUGAGUGGCGGCGCGGCCUGACUUCGAGCGUAGUAGCCUAAAACCCGCUCCGGAAGCCCUUCAGGUCGCCCCGGCCAGACAACCCCACUGUACACCGCUACGGUUGACCUCGGAUCAGGUAGGAUA